rnacentral:rRNA from 1 species
GACGAACGCUGGCGGCGUGCCUAAUACAUGCAAGUAGAACGCUGAAGGAGGAGCUUGCUUCUCUGGAUGAGUUGCGAACGGGUGAGUAACGCGUAGGUAACCUGCCUGGUAGCGGGGGAUAACUAUUGGAAACGAUAGCUAAUACCGCAUAAGAGUAGAUGUUGCAUGACAUUUGCUUAAAAUGUGCAAUUGCAUCACUACCAGAUGGACCUGCGUUGUAUUAGCUAGUUGGUGGGGUAACGGCUCACCAAGGCGACGAUACAUAGCCGACCUGAGAGGGUGAUCGGCCCACAUGGGAAUGAGACACGGCCCAGAAUCCCAAGGGAGGCAGCAGUAGGGAAUCUUCGGACAUGGACGGAAGUCUGACCGAGCAACGCCGCGUGAGUGAAGAAGGUUUUCGGAUCGUAAAGCUCUGUUGUAAGAGAAGAACGAGUGUGAGAGUGGAAAGUUCACACUGUGACGGUAUCUUACCAGAAAGGGACGGCUAACUACGUG